UAAAGCAAGAAAGGGCGUAUGGGGAAUGCCUAGGCACACUCCGGCGAAGAAGGACGCAGCAAACAGCGAAAUGCGACGGUGAGCGGUAAGCACGUGAAGAGCCGUCGAUAUCCGAAUGGGGGAACCCACACGGAGUCAUAUCCGUGUAUCACAUGUCGAAUACAUAGACAUGAUGAGGCGAGACGCAGGGAACUGAAACAUCUAAGUACCUGCAGGAAGAGAAAAUAAGAAUGAUUUUCUGAGUAGCGGCGAGCGAAAGGGAAAGAGCCCAAACCGAUUUGAGGAUCGGGGUAGUAGGAUCAUCGAGAAAUCAAACAGAGGAUCAUAGAGGAAUCACAUGGGAAGGUGAGCGAGAGAGGGUGAGAGCCCCGUACUCGAAAUGAGAGACUGGAGAGAGAUGACACCUGAGUAGGGCGGGACACGAGAAAUCCUGUCUGAAUCAGCCGGGACCAUCCGGCAAGGCUAAAUACGAGAGAGUGACCGAUAGUGAACCAGUACCGUGAGGGAAAGGUGAAAAGAACCCCGGGAGGGGAGUGAAAGAGAACCUGAAACCAUAUGCCUACAAGAAGUCAGAGCCCGUUAAAGGGUGAUGGCGUGCCUUUUGUAGAAUGAACCGGCGAGUUACUGUAUGGAGCGAGGUUAAGCAGGAUAUGCGGAGCCGAAGCGAAAGCGAGUCUUAAGAGGGCGCGAGUUGCAUGCAGUAGACCCGAAACCGGGUGAUCUAGCCAUGACCAGGUUGAAGUUGGGGUAAAACCCGAUGGAGGACCGAACCGACCCCCGUUGAAACGUUGGCGGAUGAGUUGUGGCUAGGGGUGAAAUUCCAAUCGAACCCGGAGAUAGCUGGUUCUCCCCGAAAUAGCUUUAGGGCUAGCGUCGAGAGAAGAGUUGCGUGAAGGUAGAGCACUGAAUAUGUGAUGGCCCCAUCUCGGGGUACUGAGCAUAAUCAAACUGCGAAUGUCACGCCAACAUGCUCGGCAGUCAGACAGCGGGUGAUAAGGUCCGUUGUCAAGAGGGAAACAGCCCAGACCAUCAGCUAAGGUCCCAAAAUGUAUGCUAAGUGGAAAAGGAUGUGGAGAUGUACAGACAACUAGGAGGUUGGCUCAGAAGCAGCCAUCCUUUAAAGAGUGCGUAACAGCUCACUAGUCGAAUGACUCUGCGCCGAUAAUUUACCGGGGCUAAGCAUACUACCGAAGCUAUGGAUCCCAAGGGAUGGUAGGGGAGCGUUCCAUGAACGGAGAAGUACGACCGAAAGGACGUGUGGAGAUCAUGGAAGAGAGAAUGCCGGUGUGAGUAGCGGAACGUGGGUGAGAAUCCCACGCACCGAAAACCCAAGGUUUCCAGAGGAAGGUUCGUCCGCUCUGGGUAAGUCGGGACCUAAGGCGAGGCCGAAAGGCGUAGUCGAUGGACAACAGGUAGAGAUUCCUGUACCCGUAUAUAUGUGAAGGAAUGACGGAGAGAGGAAGCUGCAGCCAGCGGCUGGAAGAGCUGGUGCAAGCGAGAUAUCGGGAUGGCAGGCAAAUCCACCAUCCGAAACGAGAAGGCGUGAAGCGUACGGAAAGCUACGGCGAGUACGGAAGGCAGUGGAGGAACUUCCAAGAAAAGUUUCUAACGUUAAGUAUAUAUGGCCCGUACCGAAAAUGGACACACAUGGGUGAGGAGAGAAUCCUAAGGUGAGCGAGAGAACUAUAGCUAAGGAACUCUGCAAAAUGACUCCGUAACUUAGGGAGAAGGAGUGCUCAUAGAGAUAUGAGCCGCAGUGAAACGGCCCAAGCGACUGUUUACCAAAAACACAGCUCUCUGCUAAGCCGCAAGGCGAAGUAUAGGGGGUGACGCCUGCCCGGUGCUGGAAGGUUAAGGGGAGGGGUUAACGCAAGUGAAGCCCUGAACUGAAGCCCCAGUAAACGGCGGCCGUAACUAUAACGGUCCUAAGGUAGCGAAAUUCCUUGUCAGGUAAGUUCUGACCCGCACGAAAGGCGUAACGAUUUGGGCGCUGUCUCAGCUGUAGACUCGGUGAAGUCUUAGUACCUGUGAAGAUGCAGGUUACCCGCGACUAGACGGAAAGACCCCAUGGAGCUUCACUGCAGGUUGAUAUUGGGAUUUGAUGCAGCAUGUACAGGAUAGGUAGGAGGCAAAGAGAUGGAUACGCCAGUAUUCAAGGAGCCGCUGUUGGGAUACUACCCCUGUUGUAUUGGAUUUCUAACCGGACGACGUAGAGCCGUUGACGGGACAGUGUCAGUCGGGCAGUUUGACUGGGGCGGUCGCCUCCCAAAGAGUAACGGAGGCGCCCAAAGAUACCCUCAGCUUGGAUGGAAACCAAGCGCAGAGUGCAAAGGCAAAAGGGUGUUUGACUGCGAGACCCACAAGUCGAGCAGGGACGAAAGUCGGGCUUAGUGAUCCGGCGGUGCUGAAUGGAAAGGCCGUCGCUCAACGGAUAAAAGCUACCCUGGGGAUAACAGGCUGAUCUCCCCCAA
rnacentral:rRNA from 1 species